GGGUCGGUAACUCAGGGGUAGAGUGUGGGACUGCAGAUCUCACGGUCACGCGUUCAAAUCGCGUUCGGCCCU
rfam:Aspergillus aculeatus ATCC 16872 unplaced genomic scaffold ASPACscaffold_8, whole genome shotgun sequence.